rnacentral:rRNA from 1 species
GACGAACGUUGGCGGCGUGCUUAAUACAUGCAAGUCGAGCGAGGCCCAUCCAGUGGCAACACUGGGGAAGGCCGAGCGGCGAACGGGUGAGUAACACGUGAGCAACCUGCCCCGAAGUCUGGAAUAACAUCGGGAAACCGGUGCUAAUACCGGAUUGCCCCACCCUGACCGCAUGAUCGGGUGAGGAAAGAUUUAUCGCUUCGGGAGGGGCUCGCGGCCUAUCAGCUAGUUGGCGGGGAACGGCCCACCAAGGCGUCGACGGGUAGCUGGUCUGAGAGGACGACCAGCCACACUGGGACUGAGACACGGCCCAGACUCCUACGGGAGGCAGCAGUAGGGAAUCUUGCGCAAUGGGCGAAAGCCUGACGCAGCAA